rnacentral:tRNA from 1 species
AGGGAUAUAGCUCAGUUGGUAAAGUGCUUGUCUUGUAUGCGGAAGGUCCUGGGUUCAAUCCCCAGUACCACAA